GGCUACUGCAGAAGGGGAGCCGCUAUCGUGGCGCUCGGAGAAGAGACUCCUGUCGCAGCGGCUGGAAGGUCUGCAGCGAGCAGUUGCAAGGCUGGGACGUGAGAAGACGGAGCUGCAGCAACUCAACGCUGAGCUGAGGAGGACUCUUGAGCAGGUGGAACGUGAACGGAGGAGACUGAAGAGAGCUUGUAGAGGUCGGUCGCUGCCGGAUGCGCGCGGAUCUCCUCCCUCCGAGUCUGACCGGCACAAGACUCCUUGGCCGGAGGAGUCUCACGCCCGCUGCAGCCAUCGAU